UCUUCGUUGUAUUUAUAAGACCUUCCAACAACAGGAAGUAGCGCCGACUAGUGCCCAGCGGUGCCCAGUCACUUCUGCGGGUCUAAGGGAAAACAGCUCUUGUUUUUUCAACAAUUUGCCCACUUUUCGUUCGCUGAUGCGGAGGUAAUCGCAGUCACAGUCAGGCUGUGAGAAUGGGCUCUAAUUAUAUUAAUGUUUUCUACCUGGAAAUACGCUGGUGUUGGACUGGCUAAGGGGACACUACUAGCCUGAACUGCGGCAGUGAGAUGGGCUGCUCAACACACCCACAGAUGUGUUCAAGUAAUGGCUCACUCAUUGUUGUACCAACUUUUAAGAUGGAGUUGCAGAGCAUGAAGGCGAGGCCACAGCAGAAGAGCUGGGAGAGAUGCAAACACCAUCGAGAAGACUAGCAAGUGGUGAAGGUUGUGGACAAGACGGUUUUGGAGAAAAUGGAAGUCGUACUUUUAAAUACAGGAUGACAUUUGUGCAAAAAAGAAAAGCUUAAUAAAACAUAUUUGUAAAGAGUCUCAUUCAUCUAAAUAUUUCAAAUGAAGUUCUGGAUGUAAUUCAGUGUUAAACGUAUACUUGUUGUACUACAUAUUUAAGUAGAAAGAUUCACAGAGAAAUUGAACUUGAACACCUCUAAAACUAUGUGAUAUAUUUUUCAUUCUCGACAAACCCAGUGUUGUAGCAGCGUUUGAGCCAGGGUCCUUCCAUUUAGCUGGCAGAGUUUUUGAUACAAGUCUUCUCAUAGUUGGCUUCAAUGGAAAUGCUGUUUUUUAGUACAGAGGCUUCUUGUGAGCAGUUGAAGAUUUGUACUCACUCAUUUAUAGUCAAUGUUUGGGUUCAAAUUAAACCCAGAUAAAAACAAGUCUACUGCAGUCUGCUAUAAUAGUCUUCAUGUUUCAGACACACAACUUUGGCUUCUACUUUGAAGAAAAGAGCUGAACCAUUGGUGCAGGUGUCUCUGGUAAAAAAAUUGACAAAUUCAAUCCUCUUUCAGUCUUUGAAUGCAUAAUCUGUACACAAACAAAGGGAAUAACAACAUGGAAUUUAAUGAACUGUCAUGUCUAUUUCAAUGUAAUUACC
rnacentral:lncRNA from 1 species